GGGGCGAGCCGUGAAGAUGGCGGCAGUGGUGGAGGUGGAGGUUGGAGGUGGUGCUGCUGGGGAACGGGAGCUGGAUGAGGGUCGAGCACGCACGCAUGCAUGCCAAGCACCGUGGCCAUGAAGCUAUGCAUGCUGAAAUGGUCCUCAUCCUCAUCGCAACCUUGGUGGUGGCCCAGCUGCUCCUGGUGCAGUGGAAGCAGAGGCACCCACGCUCCUACAAUUAGAGACGGGGUUUCACUGUGUUAGCCAGGAUGGUCUCGAUCUCCUGACCUUGUGAUCCGCCUCGGCCUCCCAAAGUGCUGGGAUUACAGGCGUGAGCCACCGCGCCCGGCAGAUUUUUACAACCUAUUCUGAAGAAAAUGGUGACCCUCUUUCAGAUGUGGGUUGUUCCCCUCUAUUUCACAGUGAAGCUGCACUGGUGGAGGUUCCUAGUGAUCUGGAUCUUGUUCUCUGCUGUCACAGCCUUUGUUACCUUCCGAGCCACCCGAAAACCUCUAGUACAGACAACCCCAAGGUUGGUUUAUAAGUGGUUCCUGCUAAUCUAUAAAAUCAGCUAUGCCACUGGCAUUGUUGGCUACAUGGCUGUCAUGUUUACCCUCUUUGGUCUUAACUUAUUAUUCAAGAUCAAACCAGAAGAUGCCAUGGACUUUGGCAUCUCCCUUCUCUUCUAUGGCCUCUACUAUGGAGUUCUGGAACGGGACUUUGCAGAAAUGUGUGCAGACUACAUGGCAUCUACCAUAGGGUUCUACAGCGAGUCGGGCAUGCCUACCAAACAUCUUUCAGACAGUGUGUGUGCUGUGUGUGGGCAGCAGAUCUUUGUGGACGUCAGUGAAGAGGGGAUCAUUGAGAACACGUAUAGGCUGUCCUGCAAUCAUGUCUUCCACGAGUUCUGCAUCCGUGGCUGGUGCAUCGUGGGAAAGAAGCAAACGUGUCCCUACUGCAAAGAGAAGGUAGACCUCAAGAGGAUGUUCAGCAAUCCCUGGGAGAGGCCUCACGUCAUGUAUGGGCAACUGCUGGACUGGCUUCGAUACUUGGUAGCCUGGCAGCCUGUCAUCAUUGGUGUAGUCCAAGGCAUCAACUACAUCCUGGGCCUGGAAUAGUGAUGAAGAGCAUCAGUGGAAAACCCACCCCACACGCCAUGGACCUCAGGGCACUCUCCUCCCUGCCCACAAAGACCUCCUGGGUGGGAAAGACUCAAAGGGGUGCUUGGGCCACUCAGGACCCCUCUGGCUGUGUCGGACUGGGGAGGGAUAUGAUGGAGAGCCAGCCAGUGGGGCUGUCAGCAGUGGGGGGCUUUUUAAAAGAAAACUAUUUUGAUGAAUAUAUUUAAAAAACCUUUUUUUAUUGUGGAGCAUAGGAAUUGCCCCCCUCCAGGCUUCACCCUCCCUGCCUAAGCAGGGUGGGGGCAGAGCCAUGACAUUUUUGGUUUAAAGGAGCCUUCUCAUCUCUGGCCGAGAACACUGCUGGGCUCCCAGGUAGCUGAAGGCCUCAGCCCACCCACUCCCUUCUUCCCUGUGUGGGGCUCAAGCCUGGUGCACUUAGUAUAGAAGAGCUAACGUACUCAGGCUUGUGCCACGGGUGAGCACUGAGGCCCCAGGUGUCCUCCCUCCCCCACUGUCUGGGACACAGGACAGGUGUUGCGUCUGACUCUGUCUCCCCCUGUCCAAGAGCUAUAGGCUGGUUGAGGCAAGUGGAACCUUAUCAGUGACUUGGCCAACAAGGGAAGCCUUGGGGCCUCAGAAUUCAUUGAAGAUUUGUUUUGGGACAACUGGAAGAAUCAGCACCAUGGAUACUCGCCCGUGGGCAGGGCUGUGGUCAGCCAAGAAUAGAGGUCAUAUAGUUGGGCCAUGGGGCAAUUGUUGGCAGCCAUGACUGACGGCCCCUUGUGCAAGCUCAUUCUUCAGUGGAUCCUUCAGUGGAGUGGUGACACGUGCCAGCGGUCACUCUGCCACAUCACUUCCUUCUUGAAAGCCUAAGAGUGCGUAUGCGUGUGUGUGUGUGUGUGUGUGUGUACGUGAGGCAGAAGAAUAUGACAGAUGUCAGCUUCUCCCUGUGUCAGAUGAUAUGUCCUUGAAGCUGGCAGGGGAUUCCCAGUCCAGGGAAUAUCCCUACAUGAUUUUUGUCAUUCAUGGGUCCUCCCUGGGCCUGACAACGGGAGUGGUGGGUGGGUGAGAACAGGUUCUGAGAGGGGGCUUCUAGGAAGGCCCCAGCCCUAGUCCUAGGCGACUUGAAUAAAGUGGGAGGUCAAACAUGGGCCUUCGGCAUUGGGUUUCUAGGGAAUAUGGCUCAGUAGGGCCUGCCCCUUCAAGGGCAGCAAGAACGAAGCAGGAUGUUGUCACUCCCGUCUGAAUAAAGCUCCAUGAGCUGGGUUGGAAAGCUGAA